rnacentral:rRNA from 1 species
ACGAACGCUGGCGGCGUGCUUCACCCAUGCAAGUCGAACGGAAAGGCCCUGCUUUUGUGGGGUGCUCGAGUGGCGAACGGGGGAGUAACACGUGAGUCACCUGCCCUUGACUUUGGGAUAACUUCAGGAAACGGGGGCUAAUACCGGAUAGGAGCUCCUGCUGCAUGGUGGGGGUUGGAAAGUUUCGGCGGUUGGGGAUGGACUCGCGGCUUAUCAGCUUGUUGGGGGGGUAGUGGCUUACCAAGGCUUUGACGGGUAGCCGGCCUGAGAGGGUGACCGGCCACAUUGGGACUGAGAUACGGCCCAGACUCCUACGGGAGGCAGCAGUGGGGAAUAUUGCACAAUGGGCGGAAGCCUGAUGCAGCAACGCCGCGUGCGGGAUGACGGCCUUCGGGUUGUAAACCGCUUUCGCCUGUGACGAAGCGUGAGUGACGGUAAUGGGUAAAGAAGCACCGGCUAACUACGUG